rnacentral:rRNA from 1 species
GACGAACGCUGGCGGCGUGCUUAACACAUGCAAGUCGAACGGAAAGGCCCUGCUUUUGUGGGGUGCUCGAGUGGCGAACGGGUGAGUAACACGUGAGUAACCUGCCCUUGACUUUGGGAUAACUUCAGGAAACUGGGGCUAAUACCGGAUAGGAGCUCCUGCUGCAUGGUGGGGGUUGGAAAGUUUCGGCGGUUGGGGAUGGACUCGCGGCUUAUCAGCUUGUUGGUGGGGUAGUGGCUUACCAAGGCUUUGACGGGUAGCCGGCCUGAGAGGGUGACCGGCCACUUGGGGCUUGAGAUGCGGCCCAGCCCCCUACGGGGGGCAGCGGGGGGGAAUUUGGCACAGGGGGGGGAGGCGUAAUGCGGCACCGCCGGGGGCGGGAUGCGGCCUUUGGGUUGGAACCCCGUUUCCCCGUGUGACGAGGUGGGAGUGACGGUAAUGGAAAAAGAAGCCCCGCCUAACUACGUC